GACGAACGCUGGCGGCGUGCUUAACACAUGCAAGUCGAACGGUGAAGGGGAGCUUGCUCCCUGGAUCAGUGGCGAACGGGUGAGUAACACGUGGGCAACCUGCCCCUGACUUCGGGAUAACGCUUCGAAAGAGGUGCUAAUACCGGAUAUGAACCCUGAGGGCAUCCUCGGGGUUGGAAAGUUUUUCGGUCAGGGAUGGGCCCGCGGCCUAUCAGCUUGUUGGUGAGGUAGUGGCUCACCAAGGCGACGACGGGUAGCCGGCCUGAGAGGGCGACCGGCCACACUGGGACUGAGACACGGCCCAGAGUCCUACGGGAGGCAGCAGUGGGGAAUAUUGCGCAAUGGGCGAAAGCCUGACGCAGCAACGCCGCGUGAGGGAUGAAGGCCUUCGGGUUGUAAACCUCUUUCAGCAGGGAAGAAGCGAAAGUGACGGUACCUGCAGAAGAAGCACCGGCUAACUACGUGCCAGCAGCCGCGGUAAUAC
rnacentral:rRNA from 1 species